ensembl:lncRNA
CUUUGGAUAGAAGCAUCUGCUAAAUUACUAAAUGCAUCAGCACACAGUGUCACGCAGACACGUUGAAUAUGAGCGUCCGGCUGGAGCAGAAUGUCACUCUGCCCUGCUUCCUGAACUCCAGCUCUGAGAUGGCAUGGUAUCGACUGAGCUCUGAGAAGAUUACUUUACUCAUAUCUGCAGCAAGAGGAAACCUUAAAAAAGAAGAUUUAGUUACUUACUAUAAUGAGAAUGGAAGUCACUUUGGGCUGGAAGCAGACAGGAGGCUUGACUCGGUCAGCCUGGUGAUCGCUGGGGUCAGAGAGUCGGAUCUGGGGCUGUACUACUGCGCUCUUGGUGUCAGUGCAAAGACGAUGCGCUUUGGGACUGCUGUCCGACUCACGUUUGCAGAUGCUGAACAGCAGCGUUCGUCAGAUAGUGUGGGCUGCAGGACGCUCUUGGUCUGUGCUUGUGUCAUGUGUGGGUUUUGCAGUAUUCUCUGCGUGUGUGUGCUCUGUUACAGGCAAGGUUCUUCCAGGGUCUCCUGCACCAGCUGCGUGUCAGAAAACUCAAAUAUCAAGGCAGCACAAGUACAGUACGCCAGUCUCCAGUUCCUCAGACGGUCCAGAGCCGCGCCUCCCGCUCCAGUCAACGUGACAUACGCAGCUAUAACCAACCACACGUCCUGAUUUCACUGCAUUUAAUCAGCUUCAUACUAACAGAGACAGUUUAAGAAGUCUACUAUACCAACAUCUAUACUCUGUACUUAUUCCAAGCCUGUGGAAAAAAACAUUAUUUAUACAAUACCAUUCAAAAGUUUGGGGUUGGAAUGAUUUUUAAUGGUUUUGAAAGAAGUCUGUUUUGUUCACCAAGGCUACAUUUAGUUGGUUUAAAGGGGUCAUCGAAUACAAAAUUCACUUUACAUGUUGUUUAAACAUAAAUGUGUGUUGGAAGUGUGUGUACACAUCUAACCUAUAAUGAUAAACAUCCACCCAGUGUUUUUUUUUAAAAAUCCCCUUUCUCAAAUCAGCCUGCUCUGAGAUUCCUGUCAGAAUGAUGUAGUUCUGCACAGGCCCCUCCCACGAUAGUUGAUUGACAAGGCUGUCUUACCUUAGACCCGCCCUGAGUGAGCUGUGAUCUGUCCACCAUUGUGUCAACUCCCGUGCAGAGGAAGACACAGAAUGAAAGAAUGACUCGUGUUGUGUUGUUGAUGUAAUGAUGAACACAGCAGUCAUCAUUUACUGCUAACAUCUGAGCGCUGAAGACGCAGUGGAUUACAUUUGUUUCUGAAGAGAAUGUGUCCUGAUCUUCAUAAAUGUGUCUAUGUUCACGCGAUCAUUCGUGAUCCAGCGUCACCUCCAGAAGAAGUGAGUGGAAGCUUCUUUAAUCAAUCUUUGGCCUUUCCUAAUCAUGUGCUCGUUAGCAAGAACUGCUCGUCAGUCCUCUGAAGAGAGGGGCGGAGUCAGCUCAUUAGCAUUUAAAGGGACAUGCACCCAAACGGCUUGCUGUGAACAGAGCUGUUUUUGACAGGAUAAAAAGGUGUUGUUUUACACUACCACUGAGAAACUUUAACCAAAGUAUGAUAUAGACGUUUCUUAAGACCCUAAAGAAUCAUAUCAACUUGUGGAAAAUGGGCAUCCGAUGACCCCUUUAAAUACAGGAAAUAAUGUGAAAUAUUUUUGCAAUUUAAAAUAACUGUUUUCUUUUCAAAUAUAUUUUUAAAAAAUUUUUUUAGGAUCAUAAUUUAUUGUUUUCAGGAUUCUUUAUAUAAAAAUUUCAAGGAAACAGCAUUUAUUAAAAUAGACUUCUUUGUAAGAUUUUAUAAAAGUAUUUACUGUCACCAGUUUAUAGUAUCGUUGUUAUAUAUAUUAAAUGGUAGUGUAUAUUACAUGUGCUAUGUUACUAUAUUAUGCCUGCUAUAGUCUAUGGUUUCUUUUUCAUUUGUUUGUUUCUAUAUAAGCUAGCUUUUGUAGGAUGACAAUAAAGCUAAGACAGUGAUUUCAGUUCUAUGUAAGGUGUUUUAUGUGUAUUUGGUUUAUGUUUACAUAUCAGUGAACAUGACUCAUAUGGACUGUACAUAUCCAGUGUAAAUGAGUGUGUUGUUUUCAUGACGUGGUCAGUGUGGAGUAAAUGACAUGCUGUCUGCUGCUCAGCUGUCUGUCUGUCUGCUUCCAGUGCUGCCCACCCAGAGACGCGUACUGGAUUUCCCC